rnacentral:pre_miRNA from 1 species
AUCCUACUCCCUCCGUCCGGAAAAACUUGUCCAUCAAAUGAAUGUAUCUAGCAUCAAGUUAGUGUUAGAUACAUCUAUUUGAGGAACAAACUUGGGACAAGCUUUUCCGGACGGAGGGAGUACUUG